rnacentral:rRNA from 1 species
CGCCUAACACAUGCAAGUCGAGUGGGUUUAGACCCACGGCAGACGGCUGAGUAACACGUUGGUACCUACCCCGAACUCAGGGAUAACCCGCCGAAAGGCGGGCUAAUACCGGAUAGUCCCGAAAGGGUAAAGAUUUUUCGGUUCGGGAGGGGCCUGCGGCCUAUCAGAUAGUUGGUGAGGUAACGGCUUACCAAGUCGAUGACGGGUAGCUGGUUUGAGAGAACGACCAGCCAGAAUGGAACUGAGACACGGUCCAUACUCCUACGGGAGGCAGCAGUGAGGAAUAUUCCGCAAUGGACGAAAGUCUGACGGAGCGACGCCGCGUGCAGGAUGACGCCCUUCGGGGUGUAAACUGC